rnacentral:rRNA from 1 species
UACGUAGGGGGCAAGCGUUGUCCGGAAUCAUUGGGCGUAAAGAGCGCGUAGGCGGCCCUGUAAGUCCGCUGUGAAAGUCAAGGGCUCAACCCUUGGAUGCCGGUGGAUACUGCAGGGCUAGAGUCCGGAAGAGGCGAGUGGAAUUCCUGGUGUAGCGGUGAAAUGCGCAGAUAUCAGGAGGAACACCGGUGGCGAAGGCGGGUCUCUGGGCCGAUACUGACGCUGAGGAGCGAAAGCUAGGGGAGCAAACGGG